GAUUUCUGGCUUGGUGCGCCUGGCCCGCCACCGUUAGGUGUGUGAGUGCUGGGUCGCGCCUGCCAUCCUUCUAGAGAACGUAUCUACCCUUCACUGGGCCGGAUACGCAAUCUAGAUCUUUUACUUUGAAAAAAUUAGAGUGUUUAAAGCAGGCUUUUGCUAUGAAUACAUUAGCAUGGAAUAAUAAUUUAGGACUUCGGUUCUAUUUUGUUGGUUUUCAGAACUGAAGUAAUGAUUGAUAGGGACAGUUGGGGAUGCUGAAAUUCAUUGGCCAGAGGUGAAAUUCUUGGAUUCAAUGAAGUUCAACUCAUGCGAAAGCAUU
rnacentral:rRNA from 1 species